AAAUAGAAUUCAUUUUCUAUAAACACCAUCUGUGUAUCUGUACCUGUUGCUUCCGUGAGACUGUGAACGCAAGUUCCCUCUGGUUCCUCUUCUUCGGAAUGGAUGCUGGGGAGUGCUCACGGGAGGUAAUCAUAAACUCUGUUUUUUUUGAACUCAGUCUGAACUUUGUUUUAAACAAAUUUUAAAACUUUCAACAACGGAUCUCUUGGUUCU
rnacentral:misc_RNA from 1 species